rnacentral:rRNA from 1 species
UCUGGUUGAUCCUGCCAGUAGUCAUAUGCUUGUCUCAAAGAUUAAGCCAUGCAUGUCUAAGUAUAAAUAGUAUACAGUGAAACUGCGAAUGGCUCAUUAAAACAGUUAUAGUUUAUUUGAUAAUUGACAAUUACAUGGAUAACCGUGGUAAUUCUAGAGCUAAUACAUGCUUAAACGCCCGACUUUAUGGAAGGGUGGUAUUUAUUAGACUGAAGCCAAUAUUCCUUGUGUCUAUUGCGGUGAUUCAUAAUAACUGAUCGAAUCUCUUUUUGAGAUAAAUCAUUCAAGUUUCUGCCCUAUCAGCUUUCGAUGGUAGUGUAUUGGACUACCAUGGCAGUAACGGGUAACGAAGAAUUAGGGUUCGAUUUCGGAGAGGGAGCAUGAGAAACGGCUACCACAUCUAAGGAAGGCAGCAGGCGCGUAAUUACCCAAUCCUGACUCAGGGAGGUAGUGACAAGAAAUAGCAAACCGGAACCUCAUGGUUUCACGGUAUUGCAAUGAGAACAAUUUAAAACCCUUAGCGAGAAUCAAGUGGAGGACAAGUCUGGUGCCAGCACCCGCGGUAAUUCCAGCUCCACUAGCGUAUAUUAAAGUUGUUGCAGUUAAAAAGCUCGUAGUUGAACCUCUGUCUGGGGCUAGUUUUGGCUUUGGUCAGGCUAGUUCUAGGCAUCCGCCUACAAGACUUAGAGGGCAUUCAGUUGUUCACUAGGAGGAGUAGGCAUUUUACUUUGAAAAAAUUAGAGUGUUUAAGGCAGGCAAUCGCCCGCAUAUAUUAGCAUGGAAUAAUAGAAUAGGACACUUUUCCAUUUCGUUGGUUAUUGGAAUCGUGUAAUGAUUAAUAGGGACAGUUGUGGGCAUUUGUAUUUAAUUGUCAGAGGUGAAAUUCUUGGAUUUAUUAAAGACAAACUAACGCGAAAGCAUUUGCCAAGGAUGUUUUCAUUAAUCAAGAACGAAAGUUAGGGGAUCAAAGACGAUCAGAUACCGUCCUAGUCUUAACUAUAAACUAUUCCGACUCAAUGUUUGACUGGCUUAUAUAACCAGUUGAGCGUUGUAUGAGAAAUCAAAGUCUUUAGGUUCUGGGGGGAGUAUGGUUGCAAAGCUGAAACUUAAAGGAAUUGACGGAGGAGCACAACCAGGAGUGGAUUCUGCGGCUUAAUUUGACUCAACACGGGGAAACUUACCAGGUUAAGACAAUAGUGGGAUUGACAGUUUGAGAGCGCUUUCUUGAUUGGUUGGGUGGUGGUGCAUGGCCGUUCUUAGUUGGUGGAGUGAUUUGUCUGCUUAAG